UACGGAGGGGGCGAGCGUUAUUCGGAAGUAUUGGGCGUAAAGGGCGCGUAGGCGGCUGUACAAGUCAAAGGUGAAAUCCCUCGGCUCAACUGAGGAACUGCCUUUGAAACUGUACGGCUUGAGGCCGGGAGGGGGUAGCGGAAUUCCCAGUGUAGCGGUGAAAUGCGUAGAUACUGGGAGGAACACCAGUGGCGAAGGCGGCUACCUGGACCGGUUCUGACGCUGAGGCGCGAAAGCGUGGGUAGCAAACAGG
rnacentral:rRNA from 1 species